rnacentral:rRNA from 1 species
GACGGACGCUGGCGGCGUGCUUAACACAUGCAAGUCGAACGGAAAGGCCCCAGCUUGCUGGGGUACUCGAGUGGCGAACGGGUGAGUAACACGUGGGUGAUCUGCCCUGCACUCUGGGAUAAGCCUGGGAAACUGGGUCUAAUACCGGAUAGGACCGUGCUUUAGUGUGUGCGGUGGAAAGUUUUUCGGUGCAGGAUGAGCCCGCGGCCUAUCAGCUUGUUGGUGGGGUAAUGGCCUACCAAGGCGGCGACGGGUAGCCGGCCUGAGAGGGUGUACGGCCACAUUGGGACUGAGACACGGCCCAGACUCCACGGGAGGCAGCAGUGGGGAAUAUUGCACAAUGGGCGCAAGCCUGAUGCAGCGACGCCGCGUGGGGGAUGACGGCCUUCGGGUUGUAAACCCCUUUCGGCAGGGACGAAGCUUUUGUGACGGUACCUGCAGAAGAAGCACCGGCUAACUACGUG